rnacentral:rRNA from 1 species
UACAGAGGGUGCGAGCGUUAAUCGGAAUUACUGGGCGUAAAGCGUGCGUAGACGGUAGCGUAAGUCAGAUGUGAAAGCCCCGGGCUCAACCUGGGAAUUGCAUUCGAGACUGCAUAGCUAGGGUGCGGAAGAGGGAAGCGGAAUUUCCGGUGUAGCGGUGAAAUGCGUAGAUAUCGGAAGGAACACCAGUGGCGAAAGCGGCUUCCUGGUCCAGCACCGACGUUCAGGCACGAAAGCGUGGGGAGCAAACAGG